AAGUCGUAACAAGGUUUCCGUAGGUGAACCUGCGGAAGGAUCAUUACAAAUCUUUUGCGAGUGUUACGUGCUUAACUGUGCGUAACAUCUCACAACAUUAGCACAAGGUCGCAAGGCCUUGAUGUUUACGCUUGUUUUGUUUGACAGAGUUAGUUGAUAAUAAAAAAAGACAACUUUUAACAAUGGAUCUCUUGGCUCUU
rnacentral:misc_RNA from 1 species